rnacentral:lncRNA from 1 species
UGAGUUAAGUUGCUCUGUUUCUACCCUUGGCACUCCUGGACAAUGGCAAGAUAGAGCCCAGAGCAUGAACUUGUGAAGGAGAAAUAAUUUUGGCAACAGAACAGGGAAAGAAGUGUCAUUCUCAAGCAGUCAUGACGUGGGAAAGGGCACAACCAAGAUGUUGCUGGUUUUUUAUCCAAAAAUUUCCCAAAUCAAGGAGGAAGUCUGCAUUGGGGGUCCUGGUGGACAACAAGCUGCCCGUGAGCCAGCAGUGCCCUUGUGGCCAAGAAAACCAAAGUUAUCCUGGAGUGCAUUAGGAUAGGGUGCCAGGAAGUUGAGGGAGGUGAUCCUGUCCCUCUGCUCAGCCUUGGUGAAGCCUCACCUGGAGUUCUGUGUCCAGUUCUUAGAUUUCCAGUUCAAGAAGGACAAGGAAAUACUGGAGAGGGUCCAGCAGAGGGCAAUGAAGAUGAUUCACAGAGUCAUGAGGUUGGUUAGCAUUGGAAGUGGCCUCUGGAGAUCAUCUAGUCCAAUUGAAUAGGGGUUUGGAGCACCUCAGUUUUGAGGAGGGGCUGAAGGAGCUGGGCCUGUUUAGCCUGGAGAAGGAGAGUAUCAAAAGGAUGCAGCCAGGCUCUUCCUGGUGGUGCUGAACGAUAGGACAAGAGGUAGCAAGAAGAAACUGGUGCACAGUAAGCUCUGACUGAACAUGAGGAAGAACAACUUUACUGUGAGGGUGACAAAGCACCGGAACAAGCUGACCAGAGGGGCUGUGGAAUCUCCUUCUGGAAUGAUUCAAAAGCUACCUGGAUACAAUCCUGAGUAAUGAGCUCUUGAGACCCAGCUCAUGCAGGGAGGUGGAAGCAGAUGAUUUCCAGUGGUCCCUUCCAACCUUACCCAUUCUGUGAAGUGAUUCUGUGAAGAAUGUGGAACAGAAAAACAGGGCUGGCUUCCCAUGGCUCUUCAUUCUCACUUUCUGAGUGAUUCUGUCAUUUUGAGAGUGAAAACAAUCCUGUAUUUUGCUCCAGAAGGAUCAACCCAGGAAGAUACUGCACCAGGAAAAUCUGUGUUUCUCAGAAGAGCCUUGUUCUCCACUGCUGUUUUGACCAGGAUCAGGUUGGUGGUAGCCUGCCUGCUGCAUCCUCCAGAAGUGCUCAGCCUGGGGGCUGCCCUGCCUGAGCAGGGGGCAGAGGGCUGA